rnacentral:tRNA from 1 species
GCAUUAAUGGGGUAGUGGUAACCUGGGUCGUUGCCAUCGACUCGCCGGGGGUUCAAUUCCCCCUUAAUGCA